GCCGAGAUAGCCAAGUAGUACGGCGGCCGUCUCGAAAACGGCUACGCGCAAGCGUGCGGGGGUUCGAAUCCCUCUCUCGGCG
rnacentral:tRNA from 4 species